GGCGGGGCUGCCGGUCGAUCGGAUCCAGCCGGAGUCGCCAGAGCUCUCAGUGCCUCGCUGCCGGGGGCGGCGUCCGCCGCCGCCCACCGCCGCCCCCCCGAGGAAGCGGCACACCGUAGAUCUCGUCGCCGUUGAGACGGCACAAUUCCUCCGGGCCUGCGGUCUCUGCGAUCGCCGGCUCGGCCCCGGCCGUGAUACUUUCAUAUACAGAGGUGAUAUUGCAUUUUGCAGCCUGGAGUGCCGAGAGCAGCAGAUUAGUCAUGAUGAGCGGAUGGAGAAAUGCUUACUAGCAUCCAUGAAGACAGAGACACCCAAGACAACUUCAGGAUCUGAAGCUCCCGGGAAUGGUGAAA
rnacentral:misc_RNA from 1 species